UACGGAGGGGGCAAGCGUUGUUCGGAAUUACUGGGCGUAAAGGGCUCGUAGGCGGCCAACUAAGUCAGACGUGAAAUCCCUCGGCUUAACCGGGGAACUGCGUCUGAUACUGGAUGGCUUGAGUUUGGGAGAGGGAUGCGGAAUUCCAGGUGUAGCGGUGAAAUGCGUAGAUAUCUGGAGGAACACCGGUGGCGAAGGCGGCAUCCUGGACCGAGAUUGACGCUGAUGCGCGAAAGCCAGGGGAGCAAACGGG
rnacentral:rRNA from 1 species